AUGGCAUCCAACCAGGACCAGGCGAGCUACCGCGCCGGCAAGGCCAAGGGACACACCCAGCACAAGGCCAGCGAGGCCACGGACAAGGCGUCCCAGACGGCGCAGGAGGCCAAGGACAAGGCUGCCGGGACGGCGCAGACAGCCAAGGACAAGGCCUCCGAGACCGCGCAGGCCGCCAAGGACCGCACCGUGGAGAGCAAGGACCAGACCGUACUGUGUGAUGGCGCAUUGACGGACCGAGAGGGGAAGGGGAUCGAGGGCGAGGGCGAGGGAGAGAGAGGGGAUAGGUUUGGGCCGGGGAUGAAAUAUGGAUGGGGGCGGCACAAUACUAAUGGCGCAUCACCCCUCGGUGCGCCAUAA
rnacentral:rRNA from 1 species